GACGAACGCUGGCGGCGUGCUUAACACAUGCAAGUCGAAUGAUGAACCCGGAGCUUGCUCCGGUGGAUUAGUGGCGAACGGGUGAGUAACACGUGAGUAACCUGCCCUUGACUCUGGGAUAACUGCGGGAAACUGUAGCCAAUACCGGAUACGACCCUCGGCGGCAUCGCCAGGGGGUGGAAAGAAUUUCGGUCAAGGAUGGACUCGCGGCCUAUCAGCUAGUUGGUGAGGUAACGGCUCACCAAGGCGACGACGGGUAGCCGGCCUGAGAGGGUGACCGGCCACACUGGGACUGAGACACGGCCCAGACUCCUACGGGAGGCAGCAGUGGGGAAUAUUGCACAAUGGGCGCAAGCCUGAUGCAGCAACGCCGCGUGAGGGAUGACGGCCUUCGGGUUGUAAACCUCUUUUAGUAGGGAAGAAGCGAAAGUGACGGUACCUGCAGAAAAAGCACCGGCUAACUACGUGCCAGCCGCCGCCGUAA
rnacentral:rRNA from 1 species